UACGUAGGUGGCAAGCGUUGUCCGGAAUUAUUGGGCGUAAAGCGCGCGCAGGUGGUUUCUUAAGUCUGAUGUGAAAGCCCACGGCUCAACCGUGGAGGGUCAUUGGAAACUGGGGAACUUGAGUGCAGGAGAGAAGAGUGGAAUUCCACGUGUAGCGGUGAAAUGCGUAGAGAUGUGGAGGAACACCAGUGGCGAAGGCGACUCUUUGGCCUGUAACUGACACUGAGGCGCGAAAGCGUGGGGAGCAAACAGGA
rnacentral:rRNA from 1 species